rnacentral:rRNA from 1 species
UACAGAGGUCUCAAGCGUUGUUCGGAUUCAUUGGGCGUAAAGGGUGCGUAGGCGGCGCGGUAAGUCGGGUGUGAAAUCUUGGAGCUUAACUCCGAAACUGCAUUCGAUACUGCGGUGCUUGAGGACUGGAGAGGAGACUGGAAUUCAUGGUGUAGCAGUGAAAAUGCGUAGAGAUCAUGAGGAAGACCAGUGGCGAAGGCGGGUCUCUGGACAGUUCCUGACACUGAGACACGAAGGCCAGGGGGAGCAAAACGGG